rnacentral:rRNA from 1 species
CAUGCAAGUCGAACGGUAAGGCCCUUUCGGGGGUACUCGAGUGGCGAACGGGUGAGUAACACGUGGGUGAUCUGCCCUGCACUUUGGGAUAAGCCUGGGAAACUGGGUCUAAUACCGGAUAGGACUACGCGAUGCAUGUCGUGUGGUGGAAAGCUUUUGCGGUGUGGGAUGGGCCCGCGGCCUAUCAGCUUGUUGGUGGGGUGAUGGCCUACCAAGGCGACGACGGGUAGCCGGCCUGAGAGGGUGACCGGCCACACUGGGACUGAGAUACGGCCCAGACUCCUACGGGAGGCAGCAGUGGGGAAUAUUGCACAAUGGGCGCAAGCCUGAUGCAGCGACGCCGCGUGAGGGAUGACGGCCUUCGGGUUGUAAACCUCUUUCAGCUCCGACGAAGCGCAAGUGACGGUAGGGGUAGAAGAAGGACCGGCCAACUACGUGCCAGCAGCCGCGGUAAUACGUAGGGUCCGAGCGUUGUCCGGAAUUACUGGGCGUAAAGAGCUCGUAGGUGGUUUGUCGCGUUGUUCGUGAAAACUCACA